GAAAUGCGAUAAGUAAUGUGAAUUGCAGAAUUCAGUGAAUCAUCGAAUCUUUGAACGCACAUUGCGCCUUUUGGUAUUCCUUAGGGCAUGCCUGUUCGAGCGUCAUCUAAACCUUCAAGCCCUGCUUGGUGUUGGGUGCCUGUCCCGCCUCCGCGCGCGGACUCACCUCAAAUCCAUUGGCGGCCCCCGCGUCGGCCACGAGCGCAGCAGAAACGCGAACUCGUGAGCCCGUCCGGGCGGCUCCCAGAAGCUACACCCACCCAGUUUGACCUCGGAUCAGGUAGGGAUACCCGCUGAACUUAAGC
rnacentral:misc_RNA from 1 species